rnacentral:rRNA from 1 species
UACGAAGGGGACUAGCGUUGUUCGGAAUUACUGGGCGUAAAGCGCACGUAGGCGGAUUUGUUAGUCAGGGGUGAAAUCCCGGGGCUCAACCUCGGAACUGCCUUUGAUACUGCAAGUCUCGAGUCCGAUAGAGGUGGGUGGAAUUCCUAGUGUAGAGGUGAAAUUCGUAGAUAUUAGGAAGAACACCAGUGGCGAAGGCGGCUCACUGGCCCGGUACUGACGCUGAGGUGCGAAAGCGUGGGGAGCAAACAGG